UACAGAGGGGGCUAGCGUUGUUCGGAAUUACUGGGCGUAAAGGGCGCGUAGGCGGGACGCCAAGUCGGUCGUGAAAUCUCCGGGCUCAACCCGGAGGAGUCGGCCGAAACUGGUGUUCUUGAGGGAGGCAGAGGAGUCUGGAAUUCCCGGUGUAGCGGUGAAAUGUGUAGAGAUCGGGAGGAACACCGGUGGCGAAGGCGGGACUCUGGGCCUACCCUGACGCUGAGGCGCGAAGGCGUGGGGAGCAAACGGG
rnacentral:rRNA from 1 species